GGGACAGAGACAGACAGAGGCAGGGCUCAGCAGGCGACACAAAAGACGAGUGGGGGGCUGGAGAAACAAGACAGAAAGAAAGACAGGAGAUACGAGGUGAUGGAGGCACAUUGCUGCCCUCCUGCUCAAGGCCCGGCUGACAUCAGGGGGUUCAUGUUUAAAGUCUACGGAAUACACUGAAAGGAGAAGAAGCUGACCCAGCCACACCCACUAUACCCUGGCAUUUGCUGUAGCCAAGGAAAAUGACUCAGCCCCUUCCAGAACCAGCUCCGGCACCGAGGGAAGUGGAAACCCAGGAAGAACAAGGAACCGCUAAUUGCCUGACGCAGACUAAUUGUCGAGCUUCCUUGAGGCCAGGGAGACUGGACCUUAUUUACCUCUGGAUUCCCAAAGCCCAGCACAAGCCCAGCCCCCACAGGCCCUGCGGAGAAGAGGACUGUGCUAACUAAGAAGAGGGAGAAGAAACCACGGCUGAGCAAAUGGGGAAGGCUCCUGGUGCUUCCUCUCCUCAGCAGGCCUUGGGCCACGAAUCCCUGCCUCUGGAGCCGUGGGUGCACGGGCGUGGAUGUGUUUGUGUGUGUCCAGCCUAGCUAUUAGCCUGGAGGCUCCUGGAAGGCAGAGGAACAUCUGUCGUGGUCUCCCCCUGCCCUGACUCCCCAGCAGGGCCCAGGCGGCUGGAGGCUCAGGGGGGUCAGUCAGGCUGGACAGACUUGCAAAUUUGACAGCCAGUGUGGACCAGAAGCCCAAUGUGGUUGACAAGGGCAGCUGGUCAACAGACCAGACGCUGGGAGAGAAAAUAUCAGGCUUCUGUGACUGAUAUGAUUUUAAAUCCUUAUUCACAGGCAGGCCUAGAAUUCUUUUUUUUUUUUUUUAAUUUCAGGAAAAAAAGCUUGAUAGAAUAAAUGUGAUGGUAGUACAUGAA